CGUCAUUUCUGGCGGAAGUUAUGGGCCAGAGUAGGGAAACCUCCGAAAUUGACACAAAAGGGACAUAUCCUGGGCAGAUCAGCGGAAACAGCAAAAUAGAGACUUGUCAAAACUGCUCACCAGAGACAAGGCUGCAGACACCGAGACAACAGAUCAAGUUUAGACACGACAUGUUUGGAGUUGCAAUAAUUGGUGACGAACAUUGAAAGUUAUUUGAUCUUAUUGUUUUGAUUUUUAAAGAAGAAAAGCUAAGUUAAGAGAAACUGAAUAGAAAAGCAACCUACUAAUAAUAAUCAGAAAGUUACUUGAACUAAACAGUUAUUUUUUAGAAUGGGUAAAACAUGUAUGCAUACUAAUUAGCACUUACUAUUACUAAUGUCGUUAAUUACGAUGUUAAUUAGGACAACUGCUAAUUAAGCAUUUGAUUGUUAAAAGUUCUUUAAAGUAACAUGCAAUUUACAUCUGUACAACCCAUUUAAGUAUGCCUACAACAUAAAUGUGAUUAAAAGCCAAUGUGUGGAUAGUUUUCACCAUAUAUGUAUCAUUAGCAUAUUGCUAAUUAGCAUAAAUUCUUAAUUAUUUAUCGAUGUUCCUAAAAGUGUGGAUACAUUCCUGUACUUACGUCAACAUGCAAUAUAGGUUAGCACUGUCUAUUUUUAUUUCAGGGAAUAUGUAAUUCAAAUAUGGACAAGUGAUACAAUUACAUGUUUUGUUGGAAGUACUUUAGGGUAAUAACCCUCAUUUGCAUAUUUUGUAAUCAAUAAAAACUACAAAAAUACUUCAUUUUUUAAUGAUUAGUCUUACUUUGAAUUAGAAACGUGAAGUUCUUUCUUAAGCUUGUAGCAUGUUUAAGAAAUGCAGAUUAAUUGAAUGGUACUAUUGUGGAUGAGUAGAUUAAUUAGGGUUAAUUAGGAUUAAUUAAUACAAAGUAAUGAUGAUAUGUCGAGAAAACAAUAUUAUAGUCUGUCCAGUAAUAUUAUCUUCAUGUGCUGAAAAUUUGAAGAACAUUUGUUAAAGCGUUUGGAAGAUACAUUAAAAAGUGUGUAAAUAAC